GACGAACGCUGGCGGCGUGCUUAACACAUGCAAGUCGAACGGAAAGGCCCUGCUUUUGUGGGGUGCUCGAGUGGCGAACGGGUGAGUAACACGUGAGUAACCUGCCCUUGACUUUGGGAUAACUUCAGGAAACUGGGGCUAAUACCGGAUAGGAGCUCCUGCUGCAUGGUGGGGGUUGGAAAGUUUCGGCGGUUGGGGAUGGACUCGCGGCUUAUCAGCUUGUUGGUGGGGUAGUGGCUUACCAAGGCUUUGACGGGUAGCCGGCCUGAGAGGGUGACCGGCCACAGUGGGACUGAGAUACGGCCCAGACUCCUACGGGAGGCAGGAGUGGGGAAUAUUGCACAAUGGGCGGAAGCCUGAUGCAGCAACGCCGCGUGCGGGAUGACGGCCUUCGGGUUGUAAACCGAUUUCGCCUGUGACGAAGCGUGAGUGACGGUAAUGGGUAAAGAAGCACCGGCUAACUACGU
rnacentral:rRNA from 1 species